CAGUCGCCGCGGUAAUACAGAGGGUGCGAGCGUUAAUCGGAUUUACUGGGCGUAAAGCGUGCGUAGGCGGCUUUUUAAGUCGGAUGUGAAAUCCCUGAGUUUAACUUAGGAAUUGCAUUCGAUACUGGGAAGCUAGAGUAUAGGAGAGGAUGGUAGAAUUCCAGGUGUAGCGGUGAAAUGCGUAGAGAUCUGGAGGAAUACCGAUGGCGAAGGCAGCCAUCUGGCCUAAUACUGACGCUGAGGUACGAAAGCAUGGGGAGCAAACAGGAUUAGAUACCCCCGUAGUCCCUGUCUCUUAUAC
rnacentral:rRNA from 1 species